rnacentral:rRNA from 1 species
UACGUAGGGUCCGAGCGUUGUCCGGAAUUAUUGGGCGUAAAGAGCUCGUAGGCGGUUUCGUAAGUCGGGUGUGAAAACCCCAGGCUCAACCUGGGGACGCCACCCGAUACUGCGAUGACUAGAGUCCGGUAGGGGAGUGUGGAAUUCCUGGUGUAGCGGUGAAAUGCGUAGAUAUCGGAAGGAACACCGGUGGCGAAGGCGGCAUCCUGGACCGGCAUUGACGCUGAGGCGCGAAAGCCAGGGGAGCAAACGGG